UAUUCUUGUUUGGUACCACGGUUAUGAGUGUAGAGAAAGAAUUUAUGUAUUGUUAUGUGUGUGUUUAUAUAUAAAACAUUUUUUGUGUAUCAAAAGUUAGUCUUAAUACAGCAGAGUUAGAUUGAACACUUAUUCUUUCUUCUCAUUCGAUCCACGUAGGAGUGACAAUAACAUGUAAAUGAAUGGUUUUCUAUGUGUAUUGAUGACGACGUUUUUGAAACGAAAUCUUAGGUUCCCAUAAUUGUGAAAACUAGAAAGUGUGUGUAGACCUACAAUUGGUACUGGUACUACAGUGGAGGAUGCUUGGCUAAGCUGGAGAUAGAUAGCCAAGUGUUGCUCCUAACCACUCAAGGCCUGUUAUGCUGACCUACAUGAGAUAUAAUGUGGGACUGAGGAGGCAACAUCCUGAUAUUAUGGCUGUUCGGGCUUCACCAUGGUUCCUUUGUGGGUGUUGAAAUGGUAGAAGGUUCUGGUAUUUUGGAGGACUUGCUGCCAGAUAUUUCUAUCAUCAAUGAUGAAACACCAGUUAUCAUUACUGUUUUGAUGUGACACAGCACAUGGAUCCAGGAAAUUCUUCCCACCUGCUCAAGGGGAAUCUUUUUACAGUAAUGGAGAAUGUUGAGUUCGAGUUUUGAAGUGCAUAAGUACCACAAGCUGUCUCCCUCACCCUCUAUAAUUUGUAGACCAGCUGCAAGGAGCCUAUUACAGAAGUAUGUGCCCCAUUAGGUACUUUCUGUUUUCUCAUUUGAUUAUAGUUGAACUCUCAGUUCAUGCUUAUCUGAUUAAUGUUUUCCUUCACUGAAUACUCAGUUUCAGUGAUUUCAAGUCUGUAUUAUCUGUCUCCAUUUUAAAUUUCCUGCAUUUGAGAGUUUUGGCAGUAUAGUCCACCUCUCUCCAAAGAAGAACCAUUCUGGAGAGUAUAAAACGUCAGUACAGAUCAGUCCUCAGGGCUGAGGUCUGUACAUGUGAUUUUCCAUUCCUUACCAGCAGAGGGAUCCCUUACGAGCAGAAACCACUGCUCAAAUUCUCCAGUAUAUUGGUUUUGGUGAUGCAGUGUGCCAUAUGCUUUAACCGUGAACACACCAAAUUUAUCUCUCUUUCCAGUAACCCCUUUAUUUUCGAAAUCUGCGUUGAAAUAUAAGUUGUGCUGGAUUUUGGUAGCACAGAUCAGUUUCACAACAUCAUCUGCGCCGUUUUUUGCUUCAGCUGUAAAACGCAUUUCAGAAUCUUAAAACUAACUGCAUUUUACACUUCUGCCAGAAAUGCUCAUAUAGCUGUGUGCGCAGACAGUGCCCGUCAUUCUGGUUCAGCGCUGAAUCAAACCACUGUGCAAACUGAAAAGCCAGCUCAUCAGCCUCACACCCUUCUACAUCAUCUCCUGGGUGUGUUGAAUGGUGGUCCAUAACAGGCACUGAUGUCGACUGAAAAAUUCAAAACGUCAUUAUAAAAUACAGUGUAAUACACAGAGAAAGGCUGUAGCAUCAUCAUCACUGCAGAGACUUGUGGCAUGCCUGCUUCCACAUACACAGCCAUACAGGAACAAAAUGCACUCUAGCACAGGUUUACAAAUAAAUGACAUGAAGCCUGGUCCAUUCUGAUAAAAACUGGCAUCAUCCACAGCAGGAGCCCUACUUUGAUCAAUGAACUGAAGAAUAAAAGAGUUUUUUAGCACAUAUCCAGCAGAGAGUGCAUGAUUAUAGACUGCAGAAGUUCUUUGGACUGUGAUUAACAAAUAAUUGAAUUCACUCAUGUGAAAGGGCAUUUAUUACGUUAAAAAAA